GCGUCGGUGGUGUAAUGGUUAGCAUCUGCGCUUCCCAUGCGCAGGAUUCGAGUUCGAUUCUUGACCGACGCA